rnacentral:lncRNA from 1 species
GUUGGCCGAUAUGGAAAGAGUGUCCUCUGCUUCUGGGUCCUAAGGCACUUGGGCAGGGUGCCUGCUGCUGCUGGCCAACAACAGGUCCUUUGGAUCUGGAAGGAAGGAAGGAAAGGAAGGAAGGCAGGCAGGCAGGCAGGCACCAAAGACAACCAGGACCUAAGUGCCCAGCCCUGGGGUCUCCUCAGUGUAGGGAGUUCACAGUGGGAAGGAACAGGCUCAGCAAUGACUGUUGGCCGAUAUGGAAAGAGUGUCCUCUGCUUCUGGGUCCUAAGGCACUUGGGCAGGGUGCCUGCUGCUGCUGGCCAACAACAGGUCCUUUGGAUCUGGAAGGAAGGAAGGAAAGGAAGGAAGGCAGGCAGGCAGGCAGGCACCAAAGACAACCAGGACCUAAGUGCCCAGCGCCCUGAACGGUGGCAGACACACUGGCAGAUCAGACCAGCCUGGUAGGGUGGGAGGGGGCACUGCUGAAGAUUCUUUAUGUGACCAUUUAUCUACCAG